rnacentral:lncRNA from 1 species
CUUUCUCUCUGGGGCAUAGCUGUGGUUAUCAGAAGAGUCUGGAUAGCAGAGAAUGUUCCUCCAGUAUGUAACUCUUCAGAGGGGGAGUCACUGACAGUGUACAUCACAGCCCCAUGGAAGCAGGGUAGGACAGAGAAUCAUGCCUCUGUAGGGAACAAUGACGGAUUUUCCCAUUAGUGAAGCUGUUUGGUCACAACUCAAAAAACAACAAUAUACAGCAAAGUAUAUUUGUAGAACUCUGAAGAUCUACCAAACACUGUUGGGGACUUUGCAUCAUUGUCACAUUUGAUCCUCACAACCGUAUAAGGUAGGCACUGUUAGCUUUGGAGGUAAGCGAUCUCUCUAAAAUUUGAGUAAUUUUGCCUGACUCGAUUUAGCUAUGAAGCAGUGGAACUGGAAUUUGAAUUCCAGAACUCAUCCUUUGACUACUAUAGAGCAGUUCUCACUUGGGUGAGCAAGUGGGUCAGUGGAGAAUACAGACUCGGAUUCUCAAGCCCCUCCAACCAAGUUGAAGUAGGUCUGAAGGGAGGGGGGCGGUGGGCAGGAUUCAGUGUUGGUAACAGAUGCCCUAUCAUCACAAUCCAGUGACCUCCGGACCUGAAAAGUGUUGCACCAUAUUACAUUUGCUGGUCAUCUGACAUCUGUGGGCCCAGGAUGGAAAAGGAAAUGGGAUGGAGAUGUGUGCCACCAGAGAGAAGGACCUUCACCCUUUGGCUUCAUGUCCAAUGUUGGAAGACUGCGUCCUAUACAGGACAGAAGACUGACUCCAGAAGAACAGUUUGCUGAUUUGUCCCCCGUACUCCAUAUGUCACCAGCGAAACAGCCUUGGCCUUCGGAAUGCAUUAGUGUUUGGGCAGUGGGAAAGAAACAAGACCAGAGGAGCCUUCUGGGACAAGUAGACAGGAAAUCAGGAAUUUUAACUCCGUGUCCCUUAAUUUUGUAUGACUUUGGGAAAGUCAUUUUUCCUCCCUAAGUGGCUAUGCCAUCUUUUGGAUAAGAGUAGGACCCCUGGAGUCGGAUGAUCCAUGUCUGCUUUCACAUGGGCAUAAUAAUAGCACCUAUCAUAGAAUUGGUACAAGGAUAAAAGAAUACAAUCUUCAUAAAGCUCUGAGCACAGUUCUCAGAUAGUAAUUUCAAUAUUUUAAAACUUCAUUUAGGAUCAUCACCUACCCCAGGGCCCCACAGAAGGGAUUAGAAGAAACAUCAAGUUCAUCAAGCUUCUUCACCUUGGGUUUGGGUGAGACAAUUCUGAACCUGGUGUGAUGCCUUUUCUUCCAAUUCCCUGGCUAUUGGUGAGGUCAUGAACAUGUUAGGGACCUGAUUUUACUACAGAUCCUUUUAGAGUUUUGAUGAAUUUUUGAAAAUUAGAAAGAGAAUAAAUUCUUGUUCAAUGACUGUGGUUUGUUUGAUAGAGGGAAUUUUUCAGAUCUAGAGGUCUAGAGGGGAUAAAAAUCGUAAUUAAGAAGAUCGGUGGUAGUAAAAAAGGUUGGCUUUAGGUGGUUUAUUAGUUAUCUAUUGUUGCGCAAUGACAUAAUCACUCCAAAACUUGGUAGCUUAAAACAACACACGUUUAUG